AUUGAACGCUGGCGGCAUGCUUUACACAUGCAAGUCGAACGGUAACAGGCCUUCGGGUGCUGACGAGUGGCGAACGGGUGAGUAAUGCAUCGGAACGUGCCCAGAGGUGGGGGAUAACGCAGCGAAAGCUGUGCUAAUACCGCAUGUGAUCUGAGGAUGAAAGCGGGGGACCAGGCAGCAAUGUUUGGCCUCGCGCCUUUGGAGCGGCCGAUGUCAGAUUAGGUAGUUGGUGGGGUAAAGGCCUACCAAGCCGACGAUCUGUAGCUGGUCUGAGAGGACGACCAGCCACACUGGGACUGAGACACGGCCCAGACUCCUACGGGAGGCAGCAGUGGGGAAUUUUGGACAAUGGGCGCAAGCCUGAUCCAGCAAUGCCGCGUGCGGGAAGAAGGCCUUCGGGUUGUAAACCGCUUUUGUACGGAACGAAAAGGCUCUGGCUAAUACCUGGGGCUGAUGACGGUACCGUAAGAAUAAGCACCGGCUAACUACGUGC
rnacentral:rRNA from 1 species